rnacentral:rRNA from 1 species
CAUGUGCAAAUGGUGGUAAUCAUUAGUCUUUUAAUUGGAGACUGGAAUGAAAGAGUAAACCGGGAGAAUUUUUUUUAAAUUAAGAAAAUAAAUUUUACUUUUUAGUAAGAAGGCUAAAAUUUUUCUUUUAGACUAAGAAGACCCUAUAAAACUUUAUAUUUUUCUCUCUUUUUGAGUUUAAAAGUAUUUCACUGGGGCGGUGGGGAAAAAAGCUUUCCUAAUUUUUUAAAACUGACUAAGUUAAAAUACCUAAAAAUUUUAAAGUUGAAAUAAGUUACUUUAGGGAUAACUAGCUUAAUUUACUUUUAAAGAUCAAAUUGACGAAGUAAGUUUAUGACCUCGAUGUUGAAUUAAAAUACCCUUUCUUGUGCAAAAGUUGAGAAGGAGUCGUCACA